CGUAUAUACAUGAUAUAUCUCCCACAUUGAGCUCUGGUUUUUUAUUUAAAAGGAAAAAACCAAGCUAGCUCUGAUUGCCAGUAAAAAAAAACAAGAAGAAGAAGAAGAAGAACCAAAGAAGAAAAGGUGGAGAUUUGCAUGUAAAAAGGUCGUAAAAACAAGAAGAAGAAGAAGAAUUAAAGAAGAAAAGGUGGGGGUUUGCAUGUAAAAAGGUCGUAUCCAAGAAGGUAAAGGCCCUCAGGAACGAGAUGGUGAUGGUGGUGUUACAAUUAACUUUCCAGUUCCCACAGUGUUCAAGCUGGAUAAAGCUAGCAGAUCAAAAUUCAAAAUCAGAAUGGGAUGAUCAU
rnacentral:lncRNA from 1 species